AAUCAUCAACCUCCCCGGUUUGCGCCGGGUUCUCGGUUGGAGUUGGGGGUCUUUGCUGCCGAAAGGCGGCUCCCCUUGAAUGCGUCGGUUGGGUUCCUUAGGCUUUUGCGUCGAAAUGGGGCGUUGUAUCAUCCUCGCUCUCGCUAGACUGCGGCUUAGGUGUUUGUUCCCUUCCUAGACUUAGCCUUUGGAGUGGCGGUCAAACUUACAAUCGAA
rnacentral:misc_RNA from 1 species